rnacentral:rRNA from 1 species
AUUGAACGCUGGCGGCAUGCUUUACACAUGCAAGUCGAACGGCAUCGCUGGCUUCGUCCUGGCGGCGCGUGGCGAACGGGUGUGUCAUGCAUCGGAACGUGCCCUUUCGUGGGGGUUUGCCCGGCGAAAGCCGGUUUAUUACCGCAUACGUCCUUAGGGUGAUCGCUGGGUACCGAAAGGCCUGGCGCUUUUGGUGCUGCCGAUGUCGGAUUAGCUAGUUGGUGGGGUAACGGCUUACCAAGUCGACGAUCCGUAGCUGUUCUGAGAGGACGACCAGCCACACUAGGACUGAGAUGAGGCACGGACUCCUACGGGAGGCAGCAGAGGAGAAUGUAGGACAAUGGGGGCAACCGAGAUCCAGCCAAGCCGCGUGGGGGAAGAAAGCAUGCGGGUAGGAAACCGCUUUUGUUCGGGAAGAAAGAUUCUGGGCUAAAACCCCAGGGGGAUGAAGGUACCGGAAGAAUAAGCACCGGCUAACUACGUG